CCACGUUUUCCGCGCCGUAGCUAACGCAUUAAGUGCCCCGCCUGGGGAGUACGGCCGCAAGGCUAAAACUCAAAGGAAUUGACGGGGGCCCGCACAAGCGGCGGAGCAUGCGGAUUAAUUCGAUGCAACGCGAAGAACCUUACCAAGGCUUGACAUGAACCGGAAAGACCUGGAAACAGGUGCCCCGCUUGCGGUCGGUUUACAGGUGGUGCAUGGUUGUCGUCAGCUCGUGUCGUGAGAUGUUGGGUUAAGUCCCGCAACGAGCGCAACCCUCGUUCUAUGUUGCCAGCACGUGAUGGUGGGGACUCAUAGGAGACUGCCGGGGUCAACUCGGAGGAAGGUGGGGACGACGUCAAAUCAUCAUGCCCCUUAUGUCUUGGGCUUCACGCAUGCUACAAUGGCCGGUACAAAGGGUUGCGAUACUGUGAGGUGGAGCUAAUCCCAAAAAGCCGGUCUCAGUUCGGAUUGGGGUCUGCAACUCGACCCCAUGAAGUCGGAGUCGCUAGUAAUCGCAGAUCAGCAACGCUGCGGUGAAUACGUUCCCGGGCCUUGUACACACCGCCCGUCAAGUCACGAAAGUUGGUAACACCCGAAGCCGGUGGCCUAACCCCUUGUGGGAGGGAGCUGUCGAAGGUGGGACUGGCGAUUGGGACUAAGUCGUAACAAGGUAGCCGUACCGGAAGGUGCG
rnacentral:rRNA from 1 species